rnacentral:sRNA from 1 species
GGAAAGCAUCAGAGCUGGAAAGAUUGGCACUCUGGCCUGGACUAGCAGCCUCUCCCAGCACAGUCCACAGCAAGCCAGUCUCAGAUGUGGCUCGACCGGCCUGGCUUGGGCCAAAAGCCUGGCGUGAAUGUGAGAUGUUAGAGCUGCUGCCCCCAUUUGUUGGCCUGUGCGCCUCCCUGGCAGGCCACCCCAGUGCUUGGCAGGCUUACCUGUCACUAUCAUCCACAGUGCUGGGUCCUGCACCUGGGCCUGGGCCUGAGCCACUCAGCCUCCUCCAGAAGCUGAUCCUGUGGCGCGUUCUGCGACCUGAGUGCCUGGCAGGUGCCCUGGCAGACUUCACCACUAGCCUCCUGGGUCGGCCCCUGGAUGAAAACAUGUGCGCUCCCACCAUGCCCUUUAAACACAGUCAGGCUACUCAGCCCAUGCUGAUCUUGUUGCCACCGCCUGGCCACCCCUCAGCCACUCUGCAUCCUCUGACUGUCAUCCAGAAACUGGCUGCCAAGUAUCAGCAGGGGCAGAAGCAACUGCAGGUGAUAGCCCUGGGCUCUGAAGCCUGGGACCCAGUCUCAGUUGUGGUCAGCACUCUAUCCCAGGCUAUGUAUGAGGGGCACUGGCUGGUGCUGGACAACUGUCAUCUGAUGCCCCAUUGGCCAAAAGAGCUGCUACAGCUCUUGCUGGAACUGUUAGGCAGAGCCAAGGUGUUUGCAGACCUGGAAUCAGAACAGCUUUUAGACCAACCUGAAAGCAGGAAUGUAAGCACUGUUCACAGAGAUUUUCGUCUUUGGCUUAUUGUGCCUGCAGAGUCUAGUGCUUCUUUGCCAGCUGUGCUGACUCAGCACUCCAUGCCUAUUUUCUGGAACCAGUCCCUGGAGCUGGGCCAUGUUUUGAUUGACGGUGUGGAGCUAGCCCAGCAAGUACUCUACAUGCAACCCCCCACCCAGGCACUACCUCUGCUCCUCCUCCAUGGCCUCCUGCUACACCGGCAGCUCUAUGGAACAAGGCUGCAGGCACACAGGGGGCGCUGGAGUCAAGUGACUCUAACCCAGGUUCUUCAGACCCAAGAUCAGCUGUGGGCAAGUCUUAGCAAUCCCUGUGCUGCCAUGCAAGAGCUGGCUGGUGAGACCCUUCCUCUCCCCCUUGGAGUCAUCAGCCCCCAGGAGAGCCUGGAAGAGGGUGGGGGUGGGAUAUAAUUCACAGCUUUGGUUUUGGGGGUGGUGGAAACUGAAAGUACUGGAACUGAGAGACUCUAACCUCAUCUUCAGCUUCAGUUUUCUACGGGGGUCCUCUGGGGGACACUGAGGACAGGGAGGCCCUGAUUAGCCUCACACAAGCCUGCCUGAGCCCCAGUAGCGGCAGCUGGGUCCAGCCACACACACCCCAGUCUUUGCUGGCCACACUCAUGCCCCUCCCAGGUAAGCCUCACUCAGGUAUCUGUUUUGGGGUAGGGAAUAGUGCAAUGCAAUGCCACCCCCCACAGAAAUGUGGACAGCAGUCUCCAUAAAGGUAUAUGAGGGGGUAAUAUUCAUACUGUUUUGGGGGUGAUGGCAGUAAAGGAUCAGAGGAAGGCCUACUCUCUCGAGUCUAGGGUGGGGAGAGUCCAUCUUCUCCCUCACCCCUCACCUCUAUCCCCAAGAGCUAAGGGAGCUGGAUGCAAUGGCAGAGUGCAAGGCCCAGAUGCACCUACUGCCCUCACCACCUGAACCCCGGCUCUGCGGACUGAGUGAGGGCCCCCAAGCCUGGCUGUUGCGACGCCAGAGUCGCGCUCUCUUGAGUGCGCUGCAGCGGAGUUCACCCGUGUGGGUUCCUGAGUCUCGAAGAGGCGCCCAGCUCGCGGAAAGGCGACUGCGGCAACGCCUAGUGCAAGUCAACCGGAGGCUGGCGUCACUGCAGGAUCUGCUGACCCACGUGGUUCGCCAAGACGAGUCUGGCGCCCCGUGGUCAGUGCUGGGGCCGAAUGAGCGGCGGCCUCUGGAGGGCGUCUUAGAGACCGAGGCUUUAGAACUGAGCCAGUUGGUGGGCACGCUACAACGCGACCUUGAUUGCCUGUUGCAGCAGCUGAAGGGCGCACCCCCGUGCCCCUCCCGCCGCUGUGCUGCGGUGGCCCACGCUCUCUGGACUGGCCGCCUACCCUUGCCUUGGCGACCUCAUGCGCCGGCCGGUCCGCAGCCGCCCUGGCACUGGCUGCGACAGUUGUCGCGCCGUGGGCAACUGUUGGUUCGUUACUUGGGCGUGGGUGCGGACGCGAGCAGUGAUGUACCAGAGCGCGUCUUCCACCUGUCAGCCUUUCGCCACCCGCGCCGCCUGCUGCUGGCCUUGCGUGAGGAAGCUGCCCUGGACCAGAAUAUGCCUAGCUCGAAUUUCCCUGGUAGCCGAGGCUCGGUCUCCAGUCAGCUCCAGUAUAAACGUCUGGAGAUGAACAGCAACCCUCUGCACCUCAGGGUGGAGAAUGGUCCAAACCCCAUGGUUCCAGAGAGAGGGCUGCUGCUGAUCGGGCUACAGGUCCUACAUGCGGAGUGGGACCCAAUAGCUGGAGCCUUGCAGGACGGUCCUUCCAGCCAACCCAGCCCUCUGCCUCCCAUCAGCAUCAGCACACAGGCCCCGGGCACCAGUGACCUGCCACCCCCAGCCGACCUGACUGUGUACUCCUGUCCUGUGUACAUGGGAGGGCCCCUUGGCACCGCUAAGCUGCAGAGCAGGAACAUCGUGAUGCAUCUGCCCUUACCCACCAAGCUCACCCCCAACACCUGUGUCCAAAGGAGGGUCCACGUGUGCAGCCCACCCCUGUCUUGAGCACAUCUACCAAAAUAAAGCUGUAGUGAUUCCAUGAAAGA